rnacentral:pre_miRNA from 1 species
GCUUGAAAGAUGAAGAGUAUAUGGUCUUAGAGUAGUGGGAAUGGGAACGUGGAUGAAACCCUAGCUUGCAUGGUUUUCACCUCUAGUAUCAGAGGUUAGAACUGAGUAUGGUGUUUUCCGAUGCCUCCCAUUCCUAUUAUUCUAAAGCACUCAUUCCUCUUUCUUUUUUGG